rnacentral:lncRNA from 1 species
GAAGAAAUGGAUGACGCGGUAUUCAAGGCUUUACUUCAUUUCAUCUAUUCGGACUCGGUGCCGCCCGAGAUGGAAGAGCCGCAGAACAGUUCUUCCACUGUGAUGGCUCAGCAUCUGCUUUCUGCUGCUGACAGGUACGAGUUGAAAAGGCUGAAGUUAAUAUGUGAAGAAAAGUUAUGCCAGAAUAUGGAUGUAGAGACAGUUGCGACUACCUUGGCUUUGGCUGAACAGCACUUCUGUGACCGGCUCAAAGCUGCUUGCCUCGAAUUCAUUGCCUCUCCAGAAAAGCUGAUUGCUGUCGCACUUACUGACGGGUUCGACCACCUGAAGAAAAGUUGCCCUUACGUGCUGAAGGAGCUCCUAGAGAAGUUUGGUUUCCUCUCUGUCAAAGAAGCUUGAGGAGAAAAAAAGCAUGAGAUCUUAUUAGUUGGUCUCAAUAUAUAAAUAAGCUUGAAGAACAGCAGUUAUGGUACUCAGAGUGUGUUGUUGUUUGCUUUAAUACUUUCAGUUUGCCCUGUUUAAUUAGUAUUGCUUGUUGUAUGUGUUUAGAUAUCAUUUUGUCAAAGCCUUGUUUUGAUAUCAUUAGUAUUGCUUGUUUCAAACGCAAAUUUUAUGUGAUUAGAUGUAGUGGCGGAUGGAGUUUCUGUUCUUGUCCUUGUUUGUAAGCUUGCUAUAUGCCUGUUCUUGUUGCGGAAUGGCAUCUUCUUAAAAAUAAAAUAAAAAAUAAAAAAAAUGAAGUAUAGAAAAGUUUCAAGAAUUUAACAGUAUCUUGAAUAACACUGUGUACAAGGUAAAUAACAGAUCAAUCCAGCAAGAGUUUGCAGUGAGCAUAAAACUUUAUAUAACUAGGAAUAAUAAUAAUAUGCAUGCUCAAGGUAGAUAACAGAUCAAUCCUAUGAUAUCUAGGGAUAAACUUAAAAACUUGAUAUACGAUUCCCGCAGUUUAGUGCAUCACUUGGAUGUCCUGUGAUAACUAUCAGAUGACCUUAUUAUGGCAACAAGAUAGUGUUACAAAUCUCCACACUGACACCUUUUAAAAGUUAAUAAGCGAAGUUAUGUUCUUCUAGUAAGAUAAAUCAUCUCACGGGUAGGUACAACGUAUAAUCCAGAAAAAUCUAGACAACUAGACAUUACAAUGGACUAAAUAGCAAACUCAUAAGUUGCAAUUAAAAGAAAAAAAAUAUUCCACAAUGCAUAAGUUAUCAAUGGAAAUUUUGUUCUGACAUGCAAACAGACCAUUAAAAAAAGAAAGGAAAAAACGAAAUAUAAGUACCAAAUUAUAGCUGGACAAAUCACAACACAAUACUCCACAAUAUAAGCACACUUCUAACCACAAACCUACAGGUUUGGUAAAUCUAUUUAGCAUAUAACAGGACUCCUCAUGGUACAUCAAUUUAUCUACUUAAUUCUAUUUAUAGAGCAAGACUCUAGCAAAUACACCUUUAAUUUUCACUUUACACAUAUAUACAUGCUGUAAAUACACAAUUUUUCAAAAUUGGAUACCUCUUUCCACAACAGCACAAGCACAAGUAGUAUGUUUAACGAAAAUCCAAACAGUUUUGAAGCUCAUAUCAAGCAUUUAAAGAAGCCAAUAGUUAAGGCCAAGUGAAACAGCUCCACCACAUCAUAUCCAUUUGCAUUUAAGUAAUAGGCUACUAGUUUGAGGUAACAUCAAUUCUAUUAAUCCUUUUUAAGAUAGUACGUACCAAUUCAUUCGAGGAAUUAUUGUUUCCGGCAACUACCUCAAGACCGAGGAGAACUUCUACAGAAGGGACGACAUGACUGAGGAUUCAUUUGUCUUCUCUCGUAGCUCAUUCAAAACUGA